rnacentral:rRNA from 1 species
GACGAACGCUGGCGGCGUGCUUAACACAUGCAAGUCGAGCGGUGAAGCACCUUCGGGUGUGAAUUAGCGGCGAACGGGUGAGGAACACGUGAAGAAUCUGCCUUCAACUCUGGGAUAACUCCGGGAAACCGGGGCUAAUACCGGAUAUGAGCCUUGAUCGCAUGAUCGGGGCUGGAAAGUUUUUCGGUUGAAGAUGACUUCGCGGCCUAUCAGCUUGUUGGUGAGGUAAUGGCUCACCAAGGCGACGACGGGUAGCCGGCCUGAGAGGGCGACCGGCCACACUGGGACUGAGAAACGGCCCAGACUCCUACGGGAGGCAGCAGUGGGGAAUAUUGGGCAAUGGAGGAAACUCUGACCCAGCGACGCCGCGUGAGGGAUGAAGGCCUUCGGGUUGUAAACCUCUUUCAGUAGGGAAGAAGCGAAAGUGACGGUACCUACAGAAGAAGCACCGGCUAACUAUGUGCCAGCAGCCGCGGUAA